UGAGGGUGCAGUACCUCCUCUGAAAUAUAUCAAGAAAUGGCUGCUGAAGCAGGAUCCCUACACUCUGCAUGUACCUGAGUAGUUGAUAUCAUAUGCUGUUUGGGCCCAUUCCGAUCUGAACACACUUCCGGUUGGGGAGGGUGGGGGUGGAGGGGGGUAUCCCUAUUCACAAGAGCCACUUCCUGUUUAUGAUUUAUGACGGGUCAUAAAAUCCAUUGUGUAGGGAUGACAGGUGUAAUGCCAGUGGUGAACCUGCAGGGGUCGCUGGGGUGCGGGAUCUGUAUAGACAGACACUUCCUGUUUAUGAUUUAUGACGGGUCGUAAACAUAGUAUAAAAAGGGGGCGACGGCUGCUGUAGGGUCCCCGCAUUCAUCAAGUUGUCUGCAGUAUUCUUUUCAAUCAACAUGGACUGCUCAUCAGAAGAAACCCAUAGAUCAGAUAGUCCUUAUUGGUUGUAUAGGGGCCCUCGUACCCCGUCGCCAUUGUCUUCCCCCGCCAUGGACGACUCUGUGUCGAGCAAUGAGGAAAUUGAAAACCAGAUGCCUGAUGGUAUGUCCGUCUUUAGUACGCCUGUGUCUAACUAUGCCGAUAGUUGUGGAGAUGCGGUACUGCUUAAUGCUCCACUCAAAAGAACGAGGCCUGUUUUAGGCUUGAGAGACCGGAGUGCCGGGGAUUCAUUCACCCACGUUGGUGAAUACGGCUUGGAGUAUGUAAUAUCAUGGGUCGAUGGCUGUGUUAUUUUGAAAGUUAAAGAUUGUGCUACAGAGUGGCGGAUGAACGUUCACGAGUGGAAUUUUUUCUUGGAGAAUUUAUGCCCCAUGCUAGACGGCGGCGAGGGUACAUGGCAUGGGGGACCCCAUGAAUACCGUUGGACCUUUCAGUAUGAAUCGAGGAUUCAACAUCGUUUGGCAUGCACCUUUCAGUAUGAAUCGAGGAUUCAUCGCAUGGAUGCAAACUAUCAUACGAAGAGACCACAGGAGUUCAUUUUUUUCAGACGCGGUGUUGAUACAGACGAGCUACCACAGUGCUAUGAUAUGCAUUGCAUCGGUAGCUCUCCUCUACGCGCCAGUGUUUUAGAAGCUGCUGAUUAUUUUGAUAAUGUCUUUUUCAUGCAGUGGGCUGAUCUGUCUGCACUACGUGGAAUUUUUGCAGAGAUUGAUUCUUUGGCUAAGACGAAUGAAGAACCAUGGAGCACAACUGACGAUGAAUGCCAAAUGUGCCUGUUUGAGUCGUCUGGGUUUGAUGAUGGGGUACAUGCACAGGUCAAUGAUGAACAUGUUCAAGGUGGGGGUGUGGCUAUGGAGACUGCUGAUUUAAAGGCUGUGCAACCCGGACCCCACUGGCUUCAAGAGUAUGCCGUCUAUCUGACCGGAUUGAAUCUGACCUUCCUACACAUCGGAGAGGACAGUGAGCUGGAGGUGGACACUGCUGUGAGAGACGACGGAUGGCCUGUAUCAAUACAGAUCCGUUUAAACCCUGCAUCGCUGGCUGUUCUGCGAUUUACCACGGGGGUCUGUGUGGUGGCCAUCAUCAACCAUCAGAAGCAAGCGGACUGCUGGGGAUGCCAGUGUGAUUGCCCAAGUCAACGACGCCAUUCAUGCCUGCAGGGAGCGACACAUCAUCACUACGAAUCCCACUACCAUGACAUUUGUGUCAUCCUGGACAGACACCCCUUCCUGUUACUUUUAGAAACUGUUCUAAAGAAGACUACAGGGUUGACUGUGUCCCCCGGAAAAAUCUAUGGUGUGGUCGAAUCUUAUCUAUGUGAUUUAAUAUGCAAUACCUAUAAUACCGAAAAACUGGAUUCAUUGACCACCGAAGGUGUGUCCGAUGAACAUCUGCUUCUGAUACAUGAAGCCAUACAAAUGUGGCGUCCUACAUUGUCAUUUUGCAAACCAAAGCCUGGUGGUGGUGGGUGGCGUUUAUAAUGGGUGUGUUGUUUUCUUAUGCCUAUGAUGCGGAUAGCAAGAUUGUAUCAGAUAGACUAUCCGUUUUGAUGUAUGCUGCCAUAGAAAAUGAUACGUAUGUCCAACAUAAUGCUUAUAUCAAAUGUACGUAUAAGGGUUGGAAUGAUCUGGUCAUGAAAUUCUUGUGUGAUAAACCUACUGAUCAAAUGUUAGCUGAAGUAUUUACCCAUUUCCCCGAUGGUGACUGUUUUACCGUCGGACAUGUCAUGUGUAUAUGUGCUUUUGUAUCGGAUGUCUUGAAGUUGAAUAAUGCCUCAAACGCCGAGGGUAUUAGAACUGCUAGAAUGAUGGCUUGUAAAAUGGUGCAGAAAAAUAAAACUGCAUGUAAACUUUAUCUGAGAAUUGUUUUGAGUGGACAGACAUUUUAAAUAAAAGGAUGGAUAACUCUGAUCAGUGUUUCAGUAUUCGUUUUUUGUUGCAUGCAUACGACAUGGAUAAACGGCUGCAUAAGACUUAUUAUGAUCCCUCCGGACCAGGGGGUUACGGCGGCAUCAAUAAACUAAGAACGGCCCUCGCGCAUAGUGAGGGUGCAGUACCUCCACUAAAAUAUAUCAAGAAAUGGUUGCUGAAGCAGGAUCCCUACACCCUGCAUGUACCUGCACCGAUACAUUUCCGCCGAAAUAGAGUAUUGGUUAGUGGAAUAGAUAGACAGUUCCAGGCUGAUUUAGUGGAUAUGGCAGAGUAUGCAUCCGAAAAUGAUGGUGUGCAUUUUCUGUUGACGUGCAUCGAUGUAUUCUCAAAACAUGCAUGGGUUCGUCCGUUACCAUCCAAGAGGGCUAUCGACGUCGCUAAAGCUUUUGAUGAUAUUCUCGGUGAAGGGCGUACCCCCGAUAAACUGCAGACUGACGCUGGCAAAGAAUUUUAUAACAAGAUCUUUCAGCGUUUGAUGGAGCGGUACAAUGUCAAACAUUUCUCUACAUCUAACGAGACCAAGGCCAGUAUAGUGGAACGCUUCAACAGGACUCUGAAAACCCGCAUGUGGAGAUAUUUAACAGCUGCCAACUCCAAACGAUAUGUGGAUAAACUACAGGAUAUGGUCCAUGCUUAUAACCAUUCAUAUCAUAGAUCGAUAAAAAUGACCCCGGCCAGUGUUGAUAAAGAUAAUGAGAAAACAGUGUUUAAUACGCUAUACAAAACCACUCAAGAGCCGAUGGUGGUGUUUAGAUACGAUGUUGGUGACACGGUUAGAAUUUCAAAAGUCAGAGCUACAUUUCGAAAGGGGUAUGAGCAGACGUUUACAGAUGAAUAUUUUGUAAUAUCGCAGCGCAUUGCAAGGUGUCCUCCAGUCUAUAAGCUGCAAGACUAUGCAGGUGCCCCUGUCCAUGGAACAUUUUACGAGAAAGAGCUGCAAAAAGUUAUAGUGUCUAAAAACAAGGUGUAUAAAAUAGAAAAGAUUAUAGAUAGAAAAAGGGAGGGGUCUAAGAAUCUGCUAUAUGUCAAAUGGCUGGGGUGGCCGGAGGCAUUCAAUUCGUGGAUAGCUGAAAAGACACUAGUCGAUGCGUAAAGAGACAUACAAGAGACAUACAAUCCAUUAUAACCAGAGUGUACGAUGGAUAAGGAGGUGUCUGGGGGUUUCUAUGUGACUCUAGCGAGUAAUGCAUCGGCAGGGAUCUACCCGCAAAAUAAGAUAUGGAAUUUUAGAACUAAAUUAGCAAAAUCUAUACACACCAAGCAGCCCUAUGAAGUAGGCCUAAUUGAAGCUCAGUACCCAUGCAGCUGGCAUAGUUUUCCUACCGAGGACGCUACGAUGACCGUUCACGAUGGUAAAACAGGUCAUAGGACAUCAUGUCUAUUAGUUGGUGGGCUUUAUGAGAGUAUCGGAUCGUUAUUACUACAAAUCAACAAGACUUGGACCAAACAUAAUCCUGGCAGUAAAGUUAUACUACAUCAUGAAGGUAUUAGAAACCGCAUUUAUGUAGAAGGAGACGAUCACCUAUCUAUCGUCUUUAGAGGAAAACUGGCUGCUAUGCUGGGUUUCGAUACAGGUGUCAAGCUACAUGCCCAUAAAUCGUAUGCAGCAUAUGCCCCCCAUCCCACCGAUAUUCACGGGGGGUGUUACAACAUGUUCAUAUAUAGCGACAUUGUCGACCAUCAGCUGGUCGGAGAUAGUUAUGUACCCCUGCUAAGGAGUAUUAAUAUAACCGACACCAGCAGGAGACACUGCAUUCACAUGUUCGACAAGCCGCAUUACGUACACGUAGCCCGAGACCCUCUUGGAGAUAUUGAAAUCGAUCUAAAGUCUGACCAGAAUACAAAUAUAAAAUUCACAUACGGCAAAGUGAUACUCAAGCUGCAUUUUAGACCUGUAAAACAGUAGAAUUCAUAGCCCCAUCUAUAGGGAUGAGGGGGUAUAGACCGCCUUACGACGAGAACAAAUAUGUUCAGUAUUAUUUAAACCAAGCAGGGAGUGGGCUACCUGGCUAUGAGGGUAGCAGCACACAAUAUGGUGCUGGCAUCGGAGGGAUGUUCCGUAGCCUCUUUAGAAUGGCUAUUCCGUUAUUUAGGCGAGGGGUUAGUAUAGCAAAGCCUCAUCUGAAGACUGCUGCUAAACAUAUUAUAGGCGACGUUAUGACCAACAUAGCCCAUGCUGCAUCUACGCCCAAACAGCAGGGGGCAGGCAUGAGGGUAUAUGCCCGAAGAGCAACAAAGUAUCCGCCUAUAGGAUGUGGGCGUACCCGUGCACCAGCACGUCGUCGUAAACAGAAUAAAAGAUUGGCAUCCAUCAAAAAGAGAGCCAAACCUAAAAGGAUCAGGAAGGGGGCAGCCCGUCGUUUUAGAGGGACGGCUAACGAUAUAUUCAUCUAGUAUAGCAGGAGGGUUGAAUAACAAUGGCGUUGCUACAUAACAUGUCAGACGAAUGCAUUAAGAGCGAACUGGAUCUCUUCUCCCUGCCUAUGACGCAGACUUCGAUAGAAAAAAGUACAUAUAUUGAAAUACCCCCGCUAUCGGCGCUAACAGAUGGUGGCCCCAUAGAGUUCUUUGUAUCGGCCAGUAGCGAAGACUAUAUAGAUCUAAACAAUACGUAUUUACACCUGAGGAUCAAGAUUACUAAUCCUG
rnacentral:lncRNA from 1 species